CGUGUGUAUCGUGGUUGCUCGGUUAAUAAGUCUUUUCUUCGGACAAUUUGUUUACUUUCGUUAAUAAAACGGUGAAAUUACAUGUGUUUCUCGUUACUACAUCGUAUGGAAUCGAUUACUUUUACCUUCAGAACGCUUCUUCAUUUACAUCAGGAAUCUUUACUUGGGUGAUUUUUCCUUUUUCCUUUGUUUUUUCGAAGAUUGAAGCAAAAACUGGACUGUAUGCGGCCAACGUGACUUUAUGAGCUGUGUAAUUCUUACCGUUGGCUGAAAUUAAGACGUCCUUGCAUUUGUCCUUUCUAUACAGUACGGCGAACUUUUCUAAACGUUCGAUUCUGGGGAUUUGAAGUUGACGUAGCGCUGCAGGUGCGGUUGCUGUCGGUGUUGGCGUAUUGUUUUCAUUAGAAAUAGAGUCGUCGAUGUUUGUGUAUGUUAAGUUGAGUCGAAUGAUUAAUUUGUUGCAAUUUUGAAAAUUUUCUUUACAGAUAUCAUCUCGAAUUAUUGUUACUUUUCAAUAUCUGUCAAUGAAUCAAAAAAUUACAACUUUGGCAUUCAAUACUCAUGCUUCUAUUGUUAUAUCAAUCAACCGAUGUUCAUGUUCCCAUAAGGAAAAUUGUACAAUUUUUUUUACCAAAGUCAACGAUGCGACAACAAUUUGGUCUCGACUCAGCUUUAAUAACACGAAGAACUGGUACAGCUUUAAUAAUUGGCUCUGAUUCGUCACGCCAAUUUGGUUCAGCUUUAAAACGUUCACAACGAAAUCACGUUAAUUUGGUCCAGCUUUAAUCUCAGAAUCAUAAAAAAUACCUAUCUGAUAAAUUUCAUCUCGAGUGUGACUAUGUAAAUAUGUCUAAAAAGACCAUGUAUAAUUACAACCUUGUGCUGAAUGAAAAACAGACAAGGAAAGAUUAUGUAAAUUUGUUUCAUACAAAAUAAUUGUUCUUUUUUACAAUUGUUAUAAUGUAAUGUAUUUUUUCUACUGUUACUUUCUUUUCAAUCGAUGUUUUAUGUAAUGUAUUUUGUUCUUUGCAUAAUGUGUCCAUUGUAACAAUGUCAUAUUUAUACUGAUGUUCGUUACAUAAUAUUUCCAUUGUAAUUUAUAUCCGAACGUUGACUAUUGACCGAUUGACCACCGAAAUUUUGUCACCGUUGGAAAUUAUGUCAAAAAACCAAAAGUCUAAUCUCGUAUAUUUUUGAAAACUCGAAUUUAUUGUCUGUGGGCUAAAAAAUUUUUUUAAAAAAGAACCGAAAACAAGUACAGGGGGCAGGAUAGUAGAGGAGUCAGUGUGGUCGUGUUGGUCCAGGGCUGUUCCGUGUGUCAACUGUGCUUGUCUCCAGUUCUCUUUGAGGGCUGGAAACAGGUACAGGGGGCAUAUGUAAUGGUCAGGGAUAUGGCCACACUGCUGGUAAUUUGCCCUUUCCAUCAGGUAAUGGGACAAUGUUGUAUGCAACAUUGUCGGAUCUACGGUUCAAAUAGAUAAUUAUUACGUUUUUCUCCGCGGUGCGUGUGUAUCGUGGUUGCUCGGUUAAUAAGUCUUUUCUUCGGACAAUUUGUUUACUUUCGUUAAUAAAACGGUGAAAUUACA